CAACAGAAGAAGCACCGGCUAACUACGUGCCAGCAGCCGACGGUAAUACGUAGGGUGCAAGCGUUAAAUCGGAAUUACUGGGGCGUAAAGGGUGCGCAGGCGGUUCUGUAAGUCAGAUGUGAAAAUCCCCCGGGGCUUAACCUGGGAACUGCGUUUGAAACUGCAGGGCUAGAGUGCGGCAGAGGGAGGUGGAAUUCCAUGUGUAGCAGUGAAAUGCGUAGAGAUAUGGAAGAACAUCGAUGGCGAAGGCAACCUCCUGGGCUAGCACUGACGCUCAUGCACGAAAGCGUGGGGAGCAAACAGGAUUAGAUACCCUGGUAGUCCACGCCCUAAACUAUGUCAACUAGUUGUCGGGUCUUAUUAGACUUGGUAACGUAGCUAACGCGUGAAGUUGACCGCCUGGGGAGUACGGUCGCAAGAUUAAAACUCAAAGGAAUUGACGGGGAC
rnacentral:rRNA from 1 species